AGUCCCCACAGGACACAGCACAGACAUGAGGGCUCCCGCUCACCUCCUGGGGCUGCUGCUGCUCUGGAUCCCAGGUUCCAGAUGUGACAUCCAGAUGACCCAGUCUCCAUCUCAGACUGCAUCACUAGGAGACACAGUCACCAUCAAGUGUCAAGCCAGUCAAAGCAUUGGCAACGAAUUAAACUGGUACCAGCAAAAACCAGGGGAAUCGCCUAAGCUCCUGAUCUAUGGUGCUUCCAGUUUGUAUCCUGGGGUCCCAUCGAAGUUCAGUGGCAGUGGUUCUGGGAGAGAUUUUACCCUCACCAUCAGCAAAGUGGAGCCAGAAGAUAUUGCAACUUAUUACUGUAAACAGGACUUAAGUUACCCACCCACAGUGGAACAAAUCCUAACACAAACCACAGAGCAAAAUAGAAAGUGCUAG